rnacentral:rRNA from 1 species
GACAGAGGGGGCAAGCGUUGCUCGGAAUUACUGGGCGUAAAGGGCGCGUAGGCGGGAUGGCAAGUCGGUCGUGAAAUCUUUCGGCUCAACCGAAGAACGUCGAUCGAUACUGCUGUUCUUGAGGGUUGCAGAGGAGACUGGAAUUCCCGGUGUAGCGGUGAAAUGUGUAGAGAUCGGGAGGAACACCGGUGGCGAAGGCGGGUCUCUGGGCAAUUCCUGACGCUGAGGCGCGAAAGCGUGGGGAGCGAUCCGG